rnacentral:rRNA from 1 species
AAUGAACGUUGGCGGCAUGGAUUAGGCAUGCAAGUCGAGCGAGAAGCCUUUUUUGCUUGCAUCAAAGGUGGACAGCGGCGAAAGGGAGAGUAACGCGUAGAAAUGUACCCCGAGGUCUGGGAUAGCUGUGGGAAACUACAGGUAAUACCGGAUAAUGUCUCCGGACCAAAGUUUUUCGCCUUGGGAGCAGUCUGCGUACUAUUAGCUUGUUGGUGGGGUAAUGGCCUACCAAGGCUCAGAUGGUUAGCGGGCGUGAGAGCGUGGCCCGUCUCACUGGGACUGAGACACUGCCCAGACACCUACGGGUGGCUGCAGUCGAGAAUCUUCCGCAAUGGACGAAAGUCUGACGGAGCGAUGCCGCGUGGUGGAUGAAGGCCCUCGGGUUGUAAACACCUGUCAGUAGGAAGGAAAUUUUGACCGAUCUACAGAGGAAGUCCGGGCUAAGUACGUG